rnacentral:rRNA from 1 species
AGAACGAACGCUGGCGGCAUGCCUAAUACAUGCAAGUCGAACGAAGGCUUCGGCCUUAGUGGCGCACGGGUGCGUAACGCGUGGGAAUCUGCCCCUUGGUUCGGAAUAACAGUUGGAAACGACUGCUAAUACCGGAUGAUGACGAAAGUCCAAAGAUUUAUCGCCAAGGGAUGAGCCCGCGUAGGAUUAGCUAGUUGGUGAGGUAAAGGCUCACCAAGGCGACGAUCCUUAGCUGGUCUGAGAGGAUGAUCAGCCACACUGGAACUGAGACACGGUCCAGACCUCCGUAACGGGAGGCAG